rnacentral:rRNA from 1 species
UAUUUGAUAGUACCUUACUACUUGGAUAACCGUGGUAAUUCUAGAGCUAAUACAUGCUAAAAACCCCGACUCACGAAGGGGUGUAUUUAUUAGAUUAAAAACCAAUGCCCUUCGGGGCUCUUUGGUGAUUCAUAAUAACUUUUCGAAUCGCAUGGCCUUGCGCCGGCGAUGGUUCAUUCAAAUUUCUGCCCUAUCAACUUUCGAUGGCAGGGUCUUGGCCUGCCAUGGUUACAACGGGUAACGGAGGGUUAGGGCUCGACCCCGGAGAAGGAGCCUGAGAAACGGCUACUACAUCCAAGGAAGGCAGCAGGCGCGCAAAUUACCCAAUCCCGAUUCGGGGAGGUAGUGACAAUAAAUACUGAUACAGGGCUCUUUUGGGUCUUGUAAUUGGAAUGAGUACAAUUUAAAUCCCUUAACGAGGAACAAUUGGAGGGCAAGUCUGGUGCCAGCAGCCGCGGUAAUUCCAGCUCCAAUAGCGUAUAUUAAAGUUGUUGCAGUUAAAAAGCUCGUAGUUGAACCUUGGGCCUGGCUGGCCGGUCCGCCUCACCGCGUGCACUGGUUCGGCCGGGCCUUUCCCUCUGGGGAACCUCAUGGUCUUCACUGAUCGUGAUGGGGAACCAGGACUUUUACUGUGAAAAAAUUAGAGUGUUCAAAGCAGGCCUAUGCUCGAAUACAUUAGCAUGGAAUAAUAAAAUAGGACGUGUGGUUCUAUUUUGUUGGUUUCUAGGACCGCCGUAAUGAUUAAUAGGGACAGUCGGGGGCAUCAGUAUUCAAUUGUCAGAGGUGAAAUUCUUGGAUUUAUUGAAGACUAACUACUGCGAAAGCAUUUGCCAAGGAUGUUUUCAUUAAUCAGGAACGAAAGUUAGGGGAUCGAAGACGAUCAGAUACCGUCGUAGUCUUAACCAUAAACUAUGCCGACUAGGGAUCGGACGGUGUUACUUAUUGACCCGUUCGGCACCUUACGAGAAAUCAAAGU